AUGACUGAAAUAGCCAGCUCGGGGUGAACCAAACAUCAAGGAUCAUACACUAUGGACCCGUCAGCACCGUGGCCAUGGGUGAUCAUAUCUUUACCAGUGGAGGAGGAGGAGACGACCGAUACCUGAACAUGAACAGGAGAGAAUAAGGAUGGUUUGGCCCGAGGAGGAAGAACUGCUGCAGAGGUUAUGUGAUCAGCUAAGACGCUUGACGUUUUACUGGCGGUCUCUCAACAUUACCUAGCCUGCCUUAACAUCACUCAGCGGGCUUCAACAUCACCUAGCGGUUCUCAACAUCACCUAGCUUGCUUUAACAUCACUCAGCGGGCAUCAACAUCACCUAGCGGUCUUCAACAUCACCUAGCAAUCCUUAACAUCACCAAGCCUCUCUUAACACCACCUAAAGUGCCUCGAUCCUGUACCCCUCAUGUCCUAUCUAGUCACCUCCAACAUGCAGCACAUCUAAACAACUAAAAAAAAUAAUCUUAUAACUCCUCAAAAAUUUGUUUCCAUCGAUUUGAUCUUUUCUGAACUAUUUUUUCCCCAACUAAAGUAACUCUGAUGUUUUAUUUAUAGUUAGCCAAGGUUUAUAUUUUUUGUCUUACUUGAAGAUAAAUAUUAUGUAGGUAUCUUAUUAUAAGAGCAUUACAAUAUAGUCUUGCUUCUCUGGCUGGUUCAUGAUACUACUAUGUUAUUUAGUUCAUCUGUAGUUUUAAGAUUCCCAGUGUUACAUUUGAGCCCACUAGCUUGAUUGUCUUUCUCGAAUAAUACUUUUCUACACGGGAAG